rnacentral:rRNA from 2 species
GAGACCCAUUUCCACUGUUGCUAACGCGACCGCAAGGUUGGCGAGUACACUGUGGAGACCGCUGGCGCUAAGUCAGAGGAAGGAUUGGUCGACGGUAGGUCAGUAUGCCCCGAAUAUCCCGGGCUACACGCGGGCUACAAUGGAUAGGACAAUGGGUAACGACACCGAAAGGUGAAGUCAAUCUCUUAAACCUAUCCUUAGUUCGGAUUGAGGGCUGAAACUCGCCCUCAUGAAGAUGGAAUCCGUAGUAAUCGCAUUUCAAAACAGUGCGGUGAAUAC